rnacentral:sRNA from 1 species
GGAAAUCAAAGCUCUGCUCUGAGUCCGAGGUGGCUGACUGAAGCGAGCUGAGCGAGCCGGCCACGGAGCCGUCCCCCUCAAACAUGACUUGUUCUGUAGGCCAGGAUGCCUGGAGCAUGUAAUAGUCCUCCCACCGCGUGCCGUUGAUGCCGGAAUCGCAGUGUAUCGCUGUGGCAUUUCAUGCGUAUUGGAUAUUAGCAUUGUCCCUGACGCUUGCUUUUCUCUAAGUAAGGAGAAUGUGCAGUGGUUGAGCUCAGUAGCAGAGUGAAGCCUAGAUCAUAAGGAUUUUAAGAAAGGCUGACAUAGAGCUGAAACAUCAUCAUCAUCAUCAUCAUAACCAUCAGCGGCAGCAGCAGCAGCAGCAACAACAACCGAAACCCCACCUGUACCUUCAUAUUACAUGGCCAUUUGGAAUGUUUUCAUUAAAAGUGAUAAUUAGAGCUUUAGUAACUUUUUUGGAAGGAGAAUUAUUUUUAAA